rnacentral:rRNA from 1 species
CACGAAGUUAGCCGGGGCUUCUUCUCACGCUACCGUCAUCAUCGUCGCGUGCGAAAGAGCUUUACAACCCGAAGGCCUUCAUCACUCACGCGGCAUUGCUGGAUCAGGCUUGCGCCCAUUGUCCAAUAUUCCCCACUGCUGCCUCCCGUAGGAGUCUGGGCCGUGUCUCAGUCCCAGUGUGGCUGACCAUCCUCUCAGACCAGCUAAGGAUCGUUGCCUUGGUAGGCCGUUACCCCACCAACAAGCUAAUCCUACGCGGGCCCAUCCCAUGGCGAUAAAUCUUUGUCCCGCAGGACACAUACGGUAUUAGCUCCAGUUUCCCGGAGUUAUUCCGUACCACAGGGCAGGUUCCCACGCGUUACUCACCCGUGCGCCACUAGGGCCGAAGCCCUCGUUCGACUUGCAUGUGUUAGGCAUGCCGCCAGCGUUCGUUCUGAGCCAGGAUCAAACUCU